AACGAACGCUGGCGGCAUGCCUAACACAUGCAAGUCGAACGGGACCUUCGGGUCUACUGGCGCACGGGUGCGUAACGCGUGGGAACCUGCCCUUAGGUUCGGAAUAACUCCCCGAAAGGGGUGCUAAUACCGGAUAAUGUCUUCGGACCAAAGAUUUAUCGCCUUUGGAUGGGCCCGCGUUGGAUUAGCUAGUUGGUAGGGUAAAAGCCUACCAAGGCGACGAUCCAUAGCUGGUCUGAGAGGAUGAUCAGCCACACUGGGACUGAGACACGGCCCAGACUCCUACGGGAGGCAGCAGUGGGGAAUAUUGGACAAUGGGCGAAAGCCUGAUCCAGCAAUGCCGCGUGAGUGAUGAAGGCCUUAGGGUUGUAAAGCUCUUUUACCCGGGAUGAUAAUGACAGUACCGGGAGAAUAAGCUCCGGCUAACUCCGUG
rnacentral:rRNA from 1 species